GUCGAACGAUGAUCUCCAGCUUGCUGGGGGGAUUAGUGGCGAACGGGUGAGUAACACGUGAGUAACCUGCCCUUAACUCUGGGAUAAGCCUGGGAAACUGGGUCUAAUACCGGAUAUGACUCCUCAUCGCAUGGUGGGGGGUGGAAAGCUUUUUGUGGUUUUGGAUGGACUCGCGGCCUAUCAGCUUGUUGGUGAGGUAAUGGCUCACCAAGGCGACGACGGGUAGCCGGCCUGAGAGGGUGACCGGCCACACUGGGACUGAGACACGGCCCAGACUCCUACGGGAGGCAGCAGUGGGGAAUAUUGCACAAUGGGCGAAAGCCUGAUGCAGCGACGCCGCGUGAGGGAUGACGGCCUUCGGGUUGUAAACCUCUUUCAGUAGGGAAGAAGCGAAAGUGACGGUACCUGCAGAAGAAGCGCCGGCUAACUACGUGCCAGCAGCCGCGGUAAUACGUAGGGCGCAAGCGUUAUCCGGAAUUAUUGGGCGUAAAGAGCUCGUAGGCGGUUUGUCGCGUCUGCUGUGAAAGACCGGGGCUCAACUCCGGUUCUGCAGUGGGUACGGGCAGACUAGAGUGAUGUAGGGGAGACUGGAAUUCCUGGUGUAGCGGUGAAAUGCGCAGAUAUCAGGAGGAACACCGAUGGCGAAGGCAGGUCUCUGGGCAUUAACUGACGCUGAGGAGCGAAAGCAUGGGGAGCGAACAGGAUUAGAUACCCUGGUAGUCCAUGCCGUAAACGUUGGGCACUAGGUGUGGGGGACAUUCCACGUUUUCCGCGCCGUAGCUAACGCAUUAAGUGCCCCGCCUGGGGAGUACGGCCGCAAGGCUAAAACUCAAAGGAAUUGACGGGGGCCCGCACAAGCGGCGGAGCAUGCGGAUUAAUUCGAUGCAACGCGAAGAACCUUACCAAGGCUUGACAUGGACCGGAUCGCUGCAGAAAUGUGGUUUCCCCUUUGGGGUCGGUUCACAGGUGGUGCAUGGUUGUCGUCAGCUCGUGUCGUGAGAUGUUGGGUUAAGUCCCGCAACGAGCGCAACCCUCGUU
rnacentral:rRNA from 1 species